AACGAACGCUGGCGGCAGGCUUAACACAUGCAAGUCGAACGCCCCGCAAGGGGAGUGGCAGACGGGUGAGUAACGCGUGGGAACAUACCCUUUUCUACGGAAUAGCUCUGGGAAACUGGAAUUAAUACCGUAUACGCCCUACGGGGGAAAGAUUUAUCGGGGAAGGAUUGGCCCGCGUUGGAUUAGCUAGUUGGUGGGGUAAAGGCCUACCAAGGCGACGAUCCAUAGCUGGUCUGAGAGGAUGAUCAGCCACAUUGGGACAGAGACACGGCCCAAACUCCUACGGGAGGCAGCAGUGGGGAAUAUUGGACAAUGGGCGCAAGCCUGAUCCAGCCAUGCCGCGUGAGUGAUGAAGGCCUUAGGGUUGUAAAGCUCUUUCACCGAUGAAGAUAAUGACGGUAGUCGGAGAAGAAGCCCCGGCUAACUUCGUG
rnacentral:rRNA from 1 species